ensembl:lncRNA
CAAAUGAAAACAAAAGAUUUAUUCUCUACAGCCCCUCAGCAAGUGAUGUCCAGCCACUUCCUGGGAAGUACUGCUUCAGUACAUGUAGUGGUUGCUCUAGAAGACAAACUUUAUAAUAAUAAAUGCUGCCCCCCAGUCCUUUCUCUUAGCUUUUAUUGCUAAGCCAACAUCAUGCAGUAUGGAAUAUCCCUUCGGCCAGUUGGGGUCAGCUGUCCUGGCUGUGUCCCUUCCCAAGAUUUUGCUUGCCCCCAUCGUCCUGGUGAGGGGGGAACACUGGAGAGACAGCCUUGGUGCAGCAGCCAGAACACUAGAGUGUUAUCAUCUGUUACACAGCACAGCACUGUGAGAGUUGCUGUGGGGAAAAUUAACUCCACUGCAGCCAGACCCAACAGAAGAGUGAAGAAAACCACUCCCCUAGACCACCUCAGAAUAUGUCCUCCUUUCUACUUUUUAAUACUAUCAAUUUGAACAGUCUAUCAGACAUUGUGUUCAUUAAAACACAGGAAGGGGGGAAAAAAAUGAAGGAGUCUUGAGGUUUUUUUCAAGUGUACAGACCAGUUAUCCACUCAUAAAAACUAAAAGACAGUCCUAAUGCUAAAAACCAUACUAAAUGUUUACGAACAUUACCAUUUUAGUAAUUGGUGCCCCUUAUAUCUAUCUGUUCCUCCCUCUACCUCACUUUUUUUCUUUUGUUUCACCAUACAAUGAAACCAGUAUUACACACCGAAGCUUAAGAUUCUAGUUUUUUUGCUGAAAAGGAAUUAACAUUUUAGACAGCCAUCAUUAGGCAUUAGCUGCUGCUCUCGAGAGUUGAAAGUCUUAAAAGCUACUCCUGCCAGUCUUGCACUUUAAGAACAAAGACCCAUGAGCACCACUGCUGAACAGAUGGUAUCUUCAGGGAAUAUAAUCCCUAACAGAAGCCCUAAACUUUUAAGUGCAUCCAGUAAUUACAUGUUGGAUUGCUAAAAAAUGAAUUACUCUUGUCCAAACAUCCUUCCCUCAUGACAAACCAAAACCUUAUGCUUUUACUUUGCAUUAGCAAUUUAUGUGCAUUCAGUAUUGAAAAAAAUCAGACAGUGCAAGGUAGGUAAUUUCAGCACUUGCUCUUCUAACAAAAUACAUUUAUCGUAAGUCUUCCUGAAAAACCACCCAGGAAUUCCAGUUUUUAUCCUUACAGUAUUUCACUCUAUUUCAAGUUUCAUUAAAGUACCAUAUUAUGCAGCUGAUAAAGGUAAUAAUAAACCCAAGCUUGCAGUUUUCAAUAUUGGGAGAAGUACCUUUCCUCCUAUUUUUAAACCCAUAUAUGCUGAACUUCAAUUUCUGCUUUUCCUCACCAGAAUACAAGUCUCAGCUAACCCAAUCUCCAAGUACUACAAGAAAGCACCGUUUCAGUGAUCACCUCCCAUCCACUUAAUAGCUCAUACAUUUUAUUUAUUCCAAAGGGGUGGACUGAACCAAAAACAACACGGAGGGAGUCAGAGCUCUGAGCACUCAGUACUUUUUAACUCUUUCCUACACAUCUUUCUCAUGCUCAGAGGCUUUCACCACACAGGCUGUGUCUGAGCUUCUGAACUUCCAGCAAAACACAUCAGAACUCUCACCACCGCGGCCGGCCGCCGCUCAGCUCAGGCGGUCGCGUUCCGGCGGCCAGCGGGCGCCGGGCGCAGGACUCCAACCACGGCCGCCACCGCCGCCGCCGCCUGCGCAGGGAAGCCGCAUCUC